UUUUCAGUGUCGCAGCGAAAGCGAUAAACACACCGCCUGGGGAGUACGACCGCAAGGUUAAAACUCAAAUGAAUUGACGGGGACCCGCACAAGUAGUGGAGCAUGUGGUUUAAUUCGAAGAUACGCGCAGAACCUUACCAACACUUGACAUGUUCGUCGCGACUUUAAGAGAUUAAAGUUUUCGGUUCGGCCGGACGAAACACAGGUGCUGCAUGGCUGUCGUCAGCUCGUGUCGUGAGAUGUUGGGUUAAGUCCCGCAACGAGCGCAACCCUCACUUUUAGUUGCCAUCAUUUAGUUGGGCACUCUGAAAGAACUGCCAGUGAUAAGCUGGAGGAAGGUGGGGAUGACGUCAAGUCCUCAUGGCCCUUACGUGUUGGGCUACACACGUGCUACAAUGGUAUCUACAACAGGAAGCAAAACCGCGAGGUUAAGCAAAUCCUUAAAAGAUACCUCAGUUCGGAUUGCACUCUGCAACUCGAGUGCAUGAAGCUGGAAUUACUAGUAAUCGUGGAUCAGCGUGCCACGGUGAAUGCGUUCCCGGGUCUUGUACACACCGCCCGUCACACCAUGGGAGUUGGUUCUACCUUAAGGCAAGGUUUUAAACCCUUGACCACGGUAUAGUCAGCGACUGGGGUGAAGUCGUAACAAGGUAGCCGUAGGGGAACCUGCGGCUGGAUUACCUCCUU
rnacentral:rRNA from 1 species